rnacentral:rRNA from 1 species
CCGUAGGGGUGAACCUGCGGAAGGAUCAUUA